rnacentral:lncRNA from 1 species
GCAGGGAUGAAGAUGGACCAGGCUAAGCAGAAGAGACAAGAAACGUACAUAUUGAGCGCUCCCUGUGCACCAGGUGCUGUGCCAGGCACUGGGGAUCUGCAGAUAAACAGGAAAAGGUCACUGCCCUCUGGAACGCCACAGUCUGGCAGGAGAGGAAGACUAGAGAUAGGCAGCGACACCUCGGUGAGGUCACAGCUGAGAUGGUGAAUUCCUGGCGUUGACGCCCCAUUUUCCUGAGUGUGACAGAUGUGGAAGCUUCCUGAGAGGACCAGUUCUGGGUGCUGUUCCAGGAGGACCAAAUUAGACACCGCUCCCCCCAUCCAGUCUUUCUAUAGAUUUUGGAAGCAACUAAUCGUC